GACGAACGCUGGCGGCGUGCUUAACACAUGCAAGUCGAACGGAAAGUCCCUGCUUUUUUGGGGUGCUCGGGUUGCGAACUGGUGAGUAACACGUGAGUAACCUGCCCUUGACUUUGGGAGAUCUUCAUAAAACUGGAGGUCAUACCGGAUAGGAGCUCCUGCUGCAGGGUGGGGGUUGGAAGGUUUCGGCGGUUGGGGAUGGAAUCGCGUCUCAUCGGCUUGUUGCUGGGGUAGUGGAAUACGAAGGCUUUGACGCGUGGCAGGCCUGAGAGGGUGACCGGCCACGUUGGGACUGGGAUAAGGCCCAGCCUCGUCCGGGAGGCAGGAGUGGGGAAGAUUGCACAAUGGGAGGAAGCCUGAUGCAGUAACGCCGUGUGGGGGAUGACGGCCUUCGGGUUGUAAUCCGCUUUCGCCUGUGACGAAGCGUGAGUGACGGUAAUGGGUAAAGAAGCACCGGCUAACUCCGUG
rnacentral:rRNA from 1 species